rnacentral:rRNA from 1 species
GGGUUGUGAGGUUAAGCGACUAAGCGUACACGGUGGAUGCCCUGGCAGUCAGAGGCGAUGAAGGACGUGCUAAUCUGCGAUAAGCGCCGGUAAGGUGAUAUGAACCGUUAUAACCGGCGAUUUCCGAAUGGGGAAACCCAGUGUGACUCGUCACACUAUCAUUAACUGAAUCCAUAGGUUAAUGAGGCGAACCGGGGGAACUGAAACAUCUAAGUACCCCGAGGAAAAGAAAUCAACCGAGAUUCCCCCAGUAGCGGCGAGCGAACGGGGAGGAGCCCAGAGCCUGAAUCAGCAUGUGUGUUAGUGGAAGCGUCUGGAAAGGCGCGCGAUACAGGGUGACAGCCCCGUACACAAAAGCGCAUGUGCUGUGAGCUCGAUGAGUAGGGCGGGACACGUGGUAUCCUGUCUGAAUAUGGGGGGACCAUCCUCCAAGGCUAAAUACUCCUGACUGACCGAUAGUGAACCAGUACCGUGAGGGAAAGGCGAAAAGAACCCCGGCGAGGGGAGUGAAAAAGAACCUGAAACCGUGUACGUACAAGCAGUGGGAGCACCCUUUGGGGUGUGACUGCGUACCUUUUGUAUAAUGGGUCAGCGACUUAUAUUCUGUAGCAAGGUUAACCGUAUAGGGGAGCCGGAGGGAAACCGAGUCUUAACCGGGCGUUAAGUUGCAGGGUAUAGACCCGAAACCCGGUGAUCUAGCCAUGGGCAGGUUGAAGGUUGGGUAACACUAACUGGAGGACCGAACCGACUAAUGUUGAAAAAUUAGCGGAUGACCUGUGGCUGGGGGUGAAAGGCCAAUCAAACCGGGAGAUAGCUGGUUCUCCCCGAAAGCUAUUUAGGUAGCGCCUCGUGAAUUCAUCUCCGGGGGUAGAGCACUGUUUCGGCUAGGGGGCCAUCCCGGCUUACCAACCCGAUGCAAACUGCGAAUACCGGAGAAUGUUAUCACGGGAGACACACGGCGGGUGCUAACGUCCGUCGUGAAGAGGGAAACAACCCAGACCGCCAGCUAAGGUCCCAAAGUCAUGGUUAAGUGGGAAACGAUGUGGGAAGGCCCAGACAGCCAGGAUGUUGGCUUAGAAGCAGCCAUCAUUUAAAGAAAGCGUAAUAGCUCACUGGUCGAGUCGGCCUGCGCGGAAGAUGUAACGGGGCUAAACCAU